UGGGGAAUCUUAGACAAUGGGCGCAAGCCUGAUCUAGCGAUGCCGCGUGAGUGACGAAGGCCUUAGGGUCGUAAAGCUCUUUCACCAGGGAUGAUAAUGACAGUACCUGGUAAAGAAACCCCGGCUAACUCCGUGCCAGCAGCCGCGGUAAUACGGAGGGGGUUAGCGUUGUUCGGAAUUACUGGGCGUAAAGCGCGCGUAGGCGGACUAUUAAGUCAGGGGUGAAAUCCCGGGGCUCAACCCCGGAACUGCCUUUGAUACUGGUAGUCUAGAGUUCGAGAGAGGUGAGUGGAAUUCCAAGUGUAGAGGUGAAAUUCGUAGAUAUUUGGAGGAACACCAGUGGCGAAGGCGACUCACUGGCACAUUUCUGACGCUGAGGCGCGAAAGCGUGGGGAGCAAACAGGAUUAGAUACCCCUGUAGUCC
rnacentral:rRNA from 1 species